rnacentral:lncRNA from 1 species
UGAGGGAGAGAAAGGGCCCGGAUCCCCUUUUCGGCAGUUACAACGCUGUCGCUCGGCCGGGGCAACCCAUGACUCGCCGGUGGCCUUUGAUGUGACAAUCUCCCGGCGGCUGAGGGAGCAGGGUUUGUGUUCCGUGUUGUCCUCCUCGUUUCGAGCAGUUUCCCUGCCAGUCACAACCCGUGUCAAAAUGGUGGCCUCCUGGGUUCCUGGAGUUGUGCUUUGUUACAUGGGGAUGUCAGCUGUUUUCUCACAAGGACUCGGGCUGUUAGAGCUCGGAGUGUUAGUUGUGUGAGGGACUCGGGGACGGGAAGUUGUCCCGGGGAGGAGUGAUGCUAAACCUGUAGGGUUGUUGUGUGUUUUCUCCUUUUCUCUUUCAGAGCUGUUGCGCAGCCAUUGGUACCUGUAUUGGGGAAACAUAGCAUACAAGCAAGAAGCUUACAGCCUCAGUGGCGAAAAUUUUUUCAUGUCAGAGACCGAGAACUCUUGCAGUCGUUUAUGUCAUCCCUUCUUCUCCAGACAGAAGAUACCAAAAAGUUGCAAUCAAAGAUCUCUUCAUCUUAUUGAUAAAGUCACUAAUAAGCCAAAAUGUCUGUCAACGUCAACCGCAGCGUGUCAGACCAGUUCUAUCGCUACAAGAUGCCCCGUUUGAUUGCUAAGGUUGAGGGCAAAGGAAAUGGAAUCAAGACAGUUAUAGUCAACAUGGUUGACGUUGCAAAGGCGCUUAAUCGGCCUCCAACGUGUAAGUAAAGCUUGGAGAAGCCUGAAAAGGUAUAUUAUGGCUAUAGUUUUUACAGUCUUUGAGCUAUACAUCUUUCCUCAAUCAUGUUAAUUAGCAAGUUGGAACUGCGGACCUACUUGAUUGGGUGUCAUUAAGCCACCCUGGCUGUAUUUCAGUUUCCCUGUAAUUUUAACACGGUGAGUUUUUGUAUAUUCACGUGCAACCAGUGCUUUAGUUAACUAUAAUGGAAUGUCUUGUCUUUAUACAGAUCCCACCAAAUAUUUUGGUUGUGAGCUGGGAGCACAGACCCAGUUUGAUGUUAAGAAUGACCGUUACAUUGUCAAUGGAUCUCAUGAGGCGAAUAAGCUGCAAGACAUGUUGGAUGGAUUCAUUAAAAAAUUUGUUCUCUGUCCUGAGUGUGAGAAUCCUGAAACAGAUCUGGUGAGUGCCUUUUAGGUUUUUUUUCAAGACUAUCAUGAAGAAAAUUGGGUUAAAUUAGUACUUUAGAUGUCUUCUGGCACUUUUAUAAUGUAACAAAAACUUCUAUCCACUUUUCCUUUUUGGCUGUAGAUGACACUUGUUUUUACUUUCCUUAAUAGCAUGUCAAUCCAAAGAAGCAAACAAUAGGUAAUUCUUGUAAAGCCUGUGGGUACCGAGGCAUGCUUGACACACAUCAUAAACUCUGUACAUUCAUUCUCAAAAACCCACCUGGUAAGUCUUUUUAAUAAAUUGACUAGUAGAAUAAAAGAAGAUUUUUUUUUCUGUUGUUGCUAUAUAAGAAUACACUAUGAGCUCAUAAGUGAAUUUUAUUGUUUGUUUGUGCAUGGGGUUUUUGAAGACAGGAUUUUUCUGUAGCUCUGGCUAUCCCAGACCUCUGAAUCAGGCUGCCCUCUGCAUCUAAAAGGGAUUAAAGGCAUUCACCACCAUGCCUAGCUCUGGACUUUGUGACUUUGACUGUAAGACAUUGGAAAAUGUCCUGUUUUAUGUAGCAAUAAGGGUGAAAAAUGGCUGCUAAACCAGAUGUCUGUUGUUAAGAGUCAAGGCUUAUCUAUUAAGCUACAGUGACUUUAAAGCAUUGCAAGCAACACUCUGUGGCAGAUGAACAAAACCGUCUGACACAAUUUGAGCUUGCUAUAGCAAGAAAGUCUAACCUAUUCCGGUGUUCUCUUUCCCCAUGAGACAAGCCGUUAUAUAGGCUCUAACAAACUUUUUAAUUGUUGAAUUGAUCAGGUUUUGGAUGUGGUAUUGUUUAAAUUUAUGGGGCAAACUACCUGAUACUAACCUUCUAAUCUUCAGCCCCAAUACUGUGUGUCAGUACUACUUCACCUUAUUUUAUAACCUGUGAAAUAUAGUAGUGUAUUUGAUCCCUGAAUCCCCUCAGAAUUCUUAGGGUGUUUUUUUCAAGACAGGGUUUUUCUAUGUAAUAUCCCUAGCUGGCCUGGAACUCACUUUGUAGACCAAGCUGGCCUCAAACUCAGAAAUAACUGCUGCUGCCUCCCAAGUGCUGGAAUGGAAGGCAUUUUUUUGUGUGGAUGUUCUGUGUACAUGUAUGUCUGUACCACAUGCAUGCAGUGCCCUGGAGGCCAGAGGGGAGGGCAUUGGAUUCCCUGGGACCAGAGUUGUGAACCACCAUAUGGUUGCUGAGAAUCUGAAUGAACAACUUUUGCAAGAAUAAGUCCUUAGUUGCUAACCAACCACGCCAUUCAGAAUUCUAAAUGUCGUUUUGUUUUAAUCAUGUUGGCUUUUUCUUCAGAGAGAGAACUAUGAUAGGUGAGACGGUAGGAUUUCAGUCUGAUAGUGAUACAUGAACCAUAGGGCUAAAUUAACUCUUCAUUUCCCUGUAGAGAAUAGUGACAUUGGUACAGG